GCCUGGCUGGCUCAGUCGGUGGAGUAUGGGACUCUUGAUCUUGGCGUUUGUGAGUUUGAGUCCCACGUUGGGUG
rnacentral:tRNA from 1 species